rnacentral:rRNA from 1 species
AUUGAACGCUGGCGGCAGGCCUAACACAUGCAAGUCGAACGGUAACAGGAAGAAGCUUGCUUCUUUGCUGACGAGUGGCGGACGGGUGAGUAAUGUCUGGGAAACUGCCUGAUGGAGGGGGAUAACUACUGGAAACGGUAGCUAAUACCGCAUAACGUCGCAAGACCAAAAAGGGGGACCUUCGGGCCUCUUGCCAUCGGAUGUGCCCAGAUGGGAUUAGCUAGUAGGUGGGGUAACGGCUCACCUAGGCGACGAUCCCUAGCUGGUCUGAGAGGAUGACCAGCCACAUGGGAACGGAGACACGGUCCAGACGCCUACGGGAGGCAGCAGUGGGGAAUAUUGCACAAUGGGCGCAAGCCUGAUGCAGCCAUGCCGAGUGUAUGAAGAAGGCCUUCGGGUUGUAAAGUACUUUCAGCGGGGAGGAAGGGAGUAAAGUUAAUACCUUUGCUCAUUGACGUUACCCGCAGAAGAAGCACCGGCUAACUACGUG